CUGAUGUUAGCGGCGGACGGGUGAGUAACACGUGGGUAACCUGCCUGUAAGACUGGGAUAACUCCGGGAAACCGGAGCUAAUACCGGAUGCUUGUUUGAACCGCAUGGUUCAAACAUAAAAGGUGGCUUCGGCUACCACUUACAGAUGGACCCGCGGCGCAUUAGCUAGUUGGUGAGGUAAUGGCUCACCAAGGCGACGAUGCGUAGCCGACCUGAGAGGGUGAUCGGCCACACUGGGACUGAGACACGGCCCAGACUCCUACGGGAGGCAGCAGUAGGGAAUCUUCCGCAAUGGACGAAAGUCUGACGGAGCAACGCCGCGUGAGUGAUGAAGGUUUUCGGAUCGUAAAGCUCUGUUGUUAGGGAAGAACAAGUACCGUUCGAAUAGGGCGGUACCUUGACGGUACCUAACCAAAAAGCCACGGCUAACUA
rnacentral:rRNA from 1 species